rnacentral:rRNA from 1 species
UCAGGACGAACGCUGGCGGCGUGCUUAACACAUGCAAGUCGAACGAUGAACCACCUUCGGGUGGGGAUUAGUGGCGAACGGGUGAGUAACACGUGGGCAAUCUGCCCUGCACUCUGGGACAAGCCCUGGAAACGGGGUCUAAUACCGGAUACUGACCUGCCAAGGCAUCUUGGCGGGUCGAAAGCUCCGGCGGUGCAGGAUGAGCCCGCGGCCUAUCAGCUUGUUGGUGAGGUAAUGGCUCACCAAGGCGACGACGGGUAGCCGGCCUGAGAGGGCGACCGGCCACACUGGGACUGAGACACGGCCCAGACUCCUACGGGAGGCAGCAGUGGGGAAUAUUGCACAAUGGGCGAAAGCCUGAUGCAGCGACGCCGCGUGAGGGAUGACGGCCUUCGGGUUGUAAACCUCUUUCAGCAGGGAAGAAGCGAAAGUGACGGUACCUGCAGAAGAAGCGCCGGCUAACUACGUGCCAGCAGCCGCGGUAAUACGUAGGGCGCAAGCGUUGUCCGGAAUUAUUGGGCGUAAAGAGCUCGUAGGCGGCUUGUCGCGUCGGUUGUGAAAGCCCGGGGCUUAACCCCGGGUCUGCAGUCGAUACGGGCAGGCUAGAGUUCGGUAGGGGAGAUCGGAAUUCCUGGUGUAGCGGUGAAAUGCGCAGAUAUCAGGAGGAACACCGGUGGCGAAGGCGGAUCUCUGGGCCGAUAC